AGAGUUUGAUCCUGGCUCAGAUUGAACGCUGGCGGCAUGCCUUACACAUGCAAGUCGAACGGCAGCGGGGACUUCGGUCCGCCGGCGAGUGGCGAACGGGUGAGUAAAGUAUCGGAACGUACCUUUCAGUGGGGGAUAACGUAGCGAAAGUUACGCUAAUACCGCAUAUUCUGUGAGCAGGAAAGCAGGGGAUCUUCGGACCUUGCGCUGAUUGAGCGGCCGAUAUCAGAUUAGCUAGUUGGUGGGGUAAAGGCCCACCAAGGCGACGAUCUGUAGCGGGUCUGAGAGGAUGAUCCGCCACACUGGGACUGAGACACGGCCCAGACUCCUACGGGAGGCAGCAGUGGGGAAUUUUGGACAAUGGGCGCAAGCCUGAUCCAGCCAUGCCGCGUGAGUGAAGAAGGCCUUCGGGUUGUAAAGCUCUUUCAGCCGGGAAGAAAUCGCAUGGGCUAAUACCCUGUGCGGAUGACGGUACCGGAAUAAGGAGCACCGGCUAACUACGUGCCAGCAGCCGCGGUAAUACGUAGGGUGCGAGCGUUAAUCGGAAUUACUGGGCGUAAAGCGUGCGCAGGCGGUUUUUUAAGAUAGGCGUGAAAUCCCAGGGCUCAACCUGGGAACUGCGCUUAUGACUGGAAGACUAGAGUAUGGCAGAGGGGGGUGGAAUUCCACGUGUAGCAGUGAAAUGCGUAGAGAUGUGGAGGAACACCGAUGGCGAAGGCAGCCCCCUGGGGCCAAUACUGACGCUCAUGCACGAAAGCGUGGGAGCAAACAGGAUUAGAUACCCUGGUAGUCCACGCCCUAAACGAUGUCAACUAGGUGUUGGGUGGGUAAAACCAUUUAGUACCGGAGCUAACGCC
rnacentral:rRNA from 1 species